AGUGAACGCUGGCGGUAGGCCUAACACAUGCAAGUCGAACGGCAGCACAGUAAGAGCUUGCUCUUACGGGUGGCGAGUGGCGGACGGGUGAGGAAUACAUCGGAAUCUACUUUUUCGUGGGGGAUAACGUAGGGAAACUUACGCUAAUACCGCAUACGACCUACGGGUGAAAGCAGGGGAUCUUCGGACCUUGCGCGAUUGAAUGAGCCGAUGUCGGAUUAGUUAGUUGGCGGGGUAAAGGCCCACCAAGGCGACGAUCCGUAGCUGGUCUGAGAGGAUGAUCAGCCACACUGGAACUGAGACACGGUCCAGACUCCUACGGGAGGCAGCAGUGGGGAAUAUUGGACAAUGGGCGCAAGCCUGAUCCAGCCAUACCGCGUGGGUGAAGAAGGCCUUCGGGUUGUAAAGCCCUUUUGUUGGGAAAGAAAAGCAGCAGGUUAAUACCCCGCUGUUCUGACGGUACCCAAUGAAUAAGCACCGGCUAACUUCGUG
rnacentral:rRNA from 1 species